rnacentral:lncRNA from 1 species
CCCGGCCUUCCUGCGGGAGCUGCGCGAGCGCAUCUGCAUCGAGCGCAAGCCCCUCAGGUUCUGUGCUGAGCGGCUCCACUCCCUCCUCCGCACCCUCGCCCUCCCCGACGUCGCCGACUUCUCCCCGAUCACCCUCGUGGCCAAUUUCGCCACCUUGGUCAGCACCUACAGCAAAGGUGGGCAAAAAACCCCAAAAUACCCCAAAAAUAGCCCAAAAAUAUCCUAACAAUAUCCCAAAAAUAUCCUAACAAUAUCCCCAAAAUACCCCAAAAAUAUCCCCAAAAAUACACCAAAACCCUGGUCAGCACCUACAGCAAAGGUGGGCAAAAAACCCCCAAAAUACCCCAAAAAUAGCCCAAAAAUAGCCUAAAAAUAUCCCAAAAAUAUCCUAACAAUAUCCCCAAAAUACCCUAAAAAUACCCCAAAAAUAUCCCCAAAAAUACACCAAAACCCUGGUCAGCACCUACAGCAAAGGUGGGCAAAAAACCCCCCAAAUACCCCAAAAAUAUCCUAACAAUAUCCCCAAAAUACCCUAAAAAUAUCCCAAAAAUAUCCUAACAAUAUCCCCAAAAUACCCUAAAAAUAUCCCAAAAAUAUCCCAAAAAUAUCCCCCAAAAUAUCCCCAAAAAUACACCAAAAAUAUCCCAAAAAAUAUCCCCAAAAAUACCCCAAAACCCUGGUCAGCACCUACAGCAAAGGUGGGCAAAAAAACCCCAAAAUACCCCAAAAAUAUCCCAAAAAUAGCCCAAAAAUAUCCCCAAAAUUCCCCACAAAAUCACCAAAUCUUCCCACCAAACCCUAAAAAUCCCCCAAAAUUCCCCCAAAACCCCAAAAUUCCCCCCAAAAACCCCCAAAAAACCCCAAAUUCUACCCAAAAUCCCCAACAAAACCCAAAAUUCCCCCAACCCCCCCCAAAAUACCCCAGAAACCCCCAAAAUUCUACCCAAAAUCCCCAACAAAACCCAAAAUUCCCCCAAAAUUCCCCCCAAAAUCCCCCAAAAA